GCUGCUGUAGCUCAGUGGUAGAGCACUUCAUUGGUAAUGAAGAGGUCGCGGGUUCAAAUCCCGCCAGCAGCUCCA
rnacentral:tRNA from 1 species